rnacentral:rRNA from 1 species
AUUGAACGCUGGCGGCAGGCUUAACACAUGCAAGUCGAGCGGGGUGAUGGUGCUUGCACUAUCACUUAGCGGCGGACGGGUGAGUAAUGCUUAGGAAUCUGCCUAUUAGUGGGGGACAACAUCUCGAAAGGGAUGCUAAUACCGCAUACGUCCUACGGGAGAAAGCAGGGGAUCACUUGUGACCUUGCGCUAAUAGAGGAGCCUAAGUCGGAGUAGCUAGUUGGUGGGGUAAAGGCCUACCAAGGCGACGAUCUGUAGCGGGUCUGAGAGGAUGAUCCGCCACACUGGGACUGAGACACGGCCCAGACUCCUACGGGAGGCAGCAGUGGGGAGUAUUGGACAAUGGGGGGAACCCUGAUCCAGCCAUGCCGCGUGUGUGAAGAAGGCCUUAUGGUUGUAAAGCACUUUAAGCGAGGAGGAGGCUCUUUUGGUUAAUACCCAAGAUGAGUGGACGUUACUCGCAGAAUAAGCACCGGCUAACUCUGUGCCAGCCGCCGCCGUAA